UACGUAGGGAGCAAGCGUUGUCCGGAAUCAUUGGGCGUAAAGCGCGCGUAGGUGGCUUCAUAAGUCCGUUGUGAAAGUCAAAGGCUCAACCUUUGAAAGCCGAUGGAUACUGUGAAGCUAGAGUACGGAAGAGGCGAGUGGAAUUCCUGGUGUAGCGGUGGAAUGCGUAGAGAUCCGGAGGAACACCAGCGGCGAAGGCGGCGUCCUGGACUGGACCUGACGCUCAGGAGCGAAAGCGUGGGGAGCGAUCCGG
rnacentral:rRNA from 1 species